rnacentral:rRNA from 1 species
AUUGAACGCUGGCGGAAUGCUUUACACAUGCAAGUCGAACGGCAGCACGGACUUCGGUCUGGUGGCGAGUGGCGAACGGGUGAGUAAUGCAUCGGAACGUGCCCAAUCGUGGGGGAUAACGUAGCGAAAGUUACGCUAAUACCGCAUACGAUCUAAGGAUGAAAGCGGGGGGUCGCAAGACCUCGCGCGAAUGGAGCGGCCGAUGUUAGAUUAGGUAGUUGGUGGGGUAAAGGCUCACCAAGCCGACGAUCUAUAGCUGGUCUGAGAGGAUGAUCAGCCACACUGGGACUGAGACACGGCCCAGACUCCUACGGGAGGCAGCAGUAGGGAAUUUUGGACAAUGGGCGCAAGCCUGAUCCAGCCAUUCCGCGUGCAGGAUGAAGGCCCUCGGGUUGUAAACUGCUUUUGUACAGAACGAAAAGCUCUGGGUUAAUACCCUGGGGUCAUGACGGUACUGUAAGAAUAAGCACCGGCUAACUACGUGCCAGCCGCCGCCGUAACAC